rnacentral:rRNA from 1 species
AGAGUUUGAUCAUGGCUCAGAACGAACGCUGGCGGCGUGCCUAACACAUGCAAGUCGAACGGAAUUGAGGGGCUUGCUCUUCAAUUUAGUGGCGCACGGGUGAGUAACGCGUGGAUAACCUACCCUGGUAUCCGGGAUAACAUCUCGAAAGGGGUGCUAAUACGGGAUAAGCCCACGGGGUCUUCGGACCCUGCGGGAAAAGGUGGCCUCUAUUUAUAAGCUACCGUAUCAGGAUGGGUCCGCGUACCAUUAGCUAGUUGGUGGGGUAAAGGCCUACCAAGGCGACGAUGGUUAGCUGGUCUGAGAGGAUGAUCAGCCACACUGGAACUGAGACACGGUCCAGACUCCUACGGGAGGCAGCAGUGGGGAAUUUUGCGCAAUGGGGGAAACCCUGACGCAGCAACGCCGCGUGAGUGAUGAAGGCCUUCGGGUCGUAAAGCUCUGUCAGUGGGAAAGAAAUGUAUAGUGGUUAAUACCCAUUAUACUUGACGGUACCCACAAAGGAAGCACCGGCUAACUCCGUGCCAGCAGCCGCGGUAAUACGGAGGGUGCGAGCGUUGUUCGGAAUUAUUGGGCGUAAAGCGCGUGUAGGCGGCUCCUUAAGUCUGAUGUGAAAGCCCCGGGCUCAACCUGGGAAGUGCAUUGGAAACUGGGGAACUUGAAUACGGGAGAGGGUAGUGGAAUUCCUGGUGUAGGAGUGAAAUCCGUAGAUAUCAGGAGGAACACCGGUGGCGAAGGCGGCUGCCUGGACCGAUAUUGACGCUGAGACGCGAAAGCGUGGGGAGCAAACAGGAUUAGAUACCCUAGUAGUCC